UGAAUAUUCUAGACAGAUGUGUGGUAUACGGGGUAUAUACUAUUAUUAGUAUAGUCACAUGAGUGGGAUAUAAGUAUUUAGAAUAUAGGCUCAGGCAGGAUAGUCGACCAAAAGACUUUUACUUGUAUAUUUGUGAUAAGUGAUUUAAUUAUUAUAAGACUUGUUUGUGAAUCAAGGAGUUUAGAAGAUUUCUGAAGUGUUGUGAAUUGUGAUAUUUUCUUGUGAAAAAAACCCUGAUAAACAUUAAAAAAAAUUCAUAAUGGCUGAAUAUGAUGAUAUGAGCUGGCACACACCCAUGUUUGUGGAUAGAAUUUUAGCACAAAUAGAAACAGCGAGAGAAGGAGCAGAUUUAGAAGAAAAUACAAAACCAUGUUCUGAAAUGGAAGACUUCAUCUUUAAAAAAUCAGGAACGAGGGAAGAAUACAUGGCUCUGAUUGCCCGACUAAUUAUGUACUUACGUGAAAAAUCUAGAGCAUCCUCAAACAUUGACUCUUACUCAUUACCUGCAGCUAAAAGAGAGGAACUUGCGCAACGUGUAACAGAAGUGACGUCAGGUGCCAGCUAUCAGACAGAUGAGAGUUAAUUUAGAACAAGUUAUGAAUGUCUCAAGAUGAAGAAAAAAAAAAAAAAUUAAAAAUAUACACUUGUGUAAAUUGUCAUCUAUAGCUGGGAUAGAUUUAAAACUGAUAGUCUCGUAAAUACACCAAUGCUUAGAUAUAGAAUAGAUUAUAAUAGUGACUUUCUCGUUCACCAGAUUAAAAUAUCUAGCUGUAAAUACAAAAUCAUGCGUAAACUACAUUAAUAAAAAUUCAAAAUUUAAUUUCUGAUUGGAAAAUUACCACAGUCAAAAUAACUUAUUUAAAUUGCUAAUAUACACAGAUUGAUAAAUGUUCUUCUUUCAAAGACAUUUAUUAAUUGGUUAAUUGGACAGUAUCACAGUAAAACUAUUGAUGGUAUUAAACAAUCACAGGUUUAUUAAACAUACAUUAUGGAAGAUUAGAUAAAGAGCUGACAGUUCUCACUAUAAUAGUUAAAAAAUAGAUAAUAUAAUGGGAAUAUGCUGAAAAUUUCAAAUUACUUCACCCUGAGCCGAGAAAUACUUCCGGUAAUUUCAAAAACACUGUAGCCUUGAUUGUCAUUGUUACCAUUGUUACGAUAAUAAACAAAGUCUUGAUCAUCCAUUUUUAUGUUUAAUCAUCAACAGCUGUUGAGCGUUGAGCGACAGAUCAGAUUCAAUUCUAAUGAAAAUUGGACUCAUCCGAUGGCAUCGAGAGAUAAUUAUGGGCUUGUCAUGUUAAUAAAUAUCUAAUUAAUAGUUUAUAUGACAUCUCAGACCCAAAGAAAGACCUACAAUAGGCAGAUUUAGCUCUUGCAUAAUGUAUGUUUAAGAAUUGAAUAUCAUUGUCGAAACGUUGCAUGUUAAUAAACCAGUAAUUGUUAAUCUAUGUAUAGUUUUAGUGUUUUACUGAUAAAUGUGUCAAAUUAAUUAAUUAGCUUUCAAUUCAACAUAAUUUUUAUUAUCUUGCCGUCGACAUGUUUUUUGUUUUAUAUAAUGUUAAACUUAAUGUUGGUUAAAGGAGGUGAUCAUUUGUUUAAUUGUUUUGUUGUAAAUCAUGGUCUCAUCGUUGGUGUCAUUAAAUAUUUUUAUUUUUAUUUCAUUUGAAGUAAAUUAUGGUAGAUAAUUCAUUCACUGCUAGCUUAAUUUUAUUUUAUUCUCAAAUAUUUUAUUGUCGAAAUAAUAUAAGAAUAGAAAUUUUUAAAAUUGUGAUUUUAUUUUUUAAAGGAGAUCCAAUUUGGUAUUUUUAGGGAAGGGAAACAACUCUGUAUUUGGAGGGUGUGCAAUUUGGUAAUGUUCCUACAUAUAAUACACCAUUCAUGUAAUAUCACACAGACAAUGAAAGUUAUAUGGAAAGGUUAAUACCACAAAAUAUGACAUUGCUGAUUGGCAAUAUUACAUAUUUUGGCAGAUAAAAUUAUAUAAUAAAGACACAUUUGAAGCAAAAAUAUUGAAUACACAUUGUCUGAUGUUGCACCCCUCGGAUACAACCAUAUAUAGAUAAUGGUACAGACACUUUAUGGUUGUCAUUUUAUACAAUUAAAUUUUUAAGAUUAUUUUAUAAGCAGGCUUUAGAAAUCUCACUCUAAAUUAUUUCCUGGAAUAUGUCCAUAAUAAUAUUUGCUCAUAUAACAGCAGCAUAUAAUAAAUGCAUGUAUAUAUAUUAUUCUAAUUUGAACAUAUUUAUUUAAAUAUUUUACGAAUGUCAUAAUAUUUCAAAAUGUGUUGUACAUGUAUCUGAUAAAAGACUUUUCCAUCUCUGGAAAGUAGGCCUACUGUACACAUUUCGAUUUUGAAAAAAAAAAAAAAGUCAAAUAUGAUCUACCGGUAUUUACUAUGAGCAACCAAUCAGAUUAAAACACAGAUCCUAUUUCGUUUCGUUUUUUAUAGUUCAAAAUUUUGUUUUACUUGUCUUUAUUACACAAGGAUCUGGAAGAGUUGUUAUAUUACCGACGUUCUGGAUGAAGUAAGGGAUUAGCCAAUGAAACAGUCUGUUAUGGCGAGUUCUUGGCGUGCGAUGCACGGAACUGUGGGUAAACCAAUAGAAACGUCAACACUGAUUGAUUAAUCAAUGUCUGAUGUCAUAGAAUCAAAAGCCGCUUGUACAACUGGUCAGAUCUUAAUGUAGUGUAGUAUAAAAAAACAAAA